rnacentral:rRNA from 1 species
AAUAAGCUAAAUAAGAGCGUAUGGGGAAUGCCUAGGCUCUCAGAGGCGAUGAAGGACGUGAUAAGCUGCGAAAAGUUGCGGAGAUUGGCACAUACAAAUUGAUCCGCAAAUAUCCGAAUGGGGCAACCCACUAUGUUGAAGACAUAGUAUCCGC